rnacentral:rRNA from 1 species
AUUGAACGCUGGCGGCAGGCUUAACACAUGCAAGUCGAGCGGGGGAGGUUGCUUCGGUAACUGACCUAGCGGCGGACGGGUGAGUAAUGCUUAGGAAUCUGCCUAUUAGUGGGGGACAACAUUCCGAAAGGAAUGCUAAUACCGCAUACGCCCUACGGGGGAAAGCAGGGGAUCUUCGGACCUUGCGCUAAUAGAUGAGCCUAAGUCGGAUUAGCUAGUUGGUGGGGUAAAGGCCUACCAAGGCGACGAUCUGUAGCGGGUCUGAGAGGAUGAUCCGCCACACUGGGACUGAGACACGGCCCAGACUCCUACGGGAGGCAGCAGUGGGGAAUAUUGGACAAUGGGCGGAAGCCUGAUCCAGCCAUGCCGCGUGUGUGAAGAAGGCCUUUUGGUUGUAAAGCACUUUAAGCGAGGAGGAGGCUCUUAAGGUUAAUACCCUUGAUGAGUGGACGUUACUCGCAGAAUAAGCACCGGCUAACUCUGUGCCAGCCGCCGCCGUAACAC